rnacentral:rRNA from 1 species
AUGGUGGACUAUCCAACUCCAGCCAAUUUCAUGAUGAAUCUGCCUGCUUACCCUGUCAAGGAGAUGUGCAAGAUCAUUGAUUCUUUUCCCGCGGGUGCAGACGUCGUCGAAAAAGCUUUCGCAGCGGCGAGUCUGUACUACAAUUACACAGGCGACCAGAAAUGCUUCCAGGUAGAGGGUGGGGAUGACCCCCAUGGCCUCAGCGGCUGGGGCUGGCAGGCUUGCACAGAGAUGGUCAUGCCAAUGACGGUGUCGAAUGAGAGCAUGUUUCCGCCAUCCGGCUUCAGCUACGAAGAGAAGUCCGAGGGCUGCUUUGCUAGCUAUGAGGUUCGCCCGAGGAUGAACUGGAUCACUACUGAAUAUGGUGGCCAUAAAAUUGACAAAGUUCUCAAGAGGUUCGGGAGCAACAUCAUCUUCUCCAACGGGAUGCGAGACCCGUGGAGUCGAGGGGGGAUUCUCAAGAACAUAUCAUCCAAUAUCAUUGCUCUUGUCACAGAGAAAGGGGCCCAUCAUUUGGACUUCAGAUCUGCAACCAAGGAUGACCCAGACUGGGUUGUAGAACAAAGGAGACAGGAAGUUGAGAUCAUACAUGGAUGGAUAGAUCAGUAUAACAAGUACAUUGCACAGAUGUAG